GUCCCGUGGCCAGGAGCAUGGGCUCUGGAGUUGAAGAACCCAGGGCUGCAGACUUCUGAUCUGUCUUCUGGUCUCAGGGCUCAGUUCAGUUUGUCUCUGGAGGAAGGGCAGUGUGGGUUUUGGCCUCUGUGGGCUCUAAAGAAAGGGUGACUGGGUCCUGGGCCGCUGUGUUACCCAUCAGUAGCAAUGGCACAGUUAUUUCUUUGGUCAUGUCUACUGUCCAUGCAGACAGUGCUGUGAGACGCUGAGCCAGUAGGGUACUGGUUGGGAACUGCGCAUUCCUGGCUCCUGUCAUUGCCUGGCCCAGUGUCUGCCACCUCCUUAAAAAGCAUCCAACAUCUGUUUGUGCUGAGAAAGUCCUUUCCCUUCUGGACACACACCACACACCCCACCUCUCAUCUCCGACAUUGGGAUAUCAGAAACACACCCCACCCCACCCCAGACCUGUGCUGAAAUGUUCAAGAGUGGCAGACAAGCCAGGCAUGGUGGUGCACUCCUUUAAACCCAGCAAGUGGGUGAUAGAGGCGGGUGGAGCUCUGUGAGUUUAGAGCCAGUCUGGUCUACAUAGCAAGCACCAGGACAACUAGAACUCUAUAGAGAAACCCUGUCUCCCUCCUUUCAGAGCGUGCCUGACGGAGUCCUCUAAGGAUCUUUAAAGUCCUUAACCAAGGAGGAACUUUUCGCUUUCGCCAGAAUAUCAAGUUUGUCAUCUAGGUUGACCAAGUAAACCUGGUGUUUUCUGGGCUGCUGGCCGAGGCUUAGCUUUAAGCCUUUAACUUGGAUGGUGGAUGUGGGAACCGCUACUCUUUCUGUGUGUCCGAGGCUUCCAGCCUGGAGGUUCUCGGCAGUGUGCAGCAUGAGGCCUGAGCAUCCUGGAGCCGUCCUAGCAGGUGCCCAGACCCUGUAGGGGCCUUGAGGCUCUGGUUCCGUGGUAGGGCAUAGAAAGGAGCAUUUCAGGCCAGUGGGCAGAACUACAGAGUUUCAUUAGCUUAUAAAUCUUGUGCAUUUUCUUCUUGAUUUUUUUUUUUUUUUGAGACAAGGUCUUAAGAGCCUUCUGCCUCUGCUCCCACCAGGUCGAAUGACGUUAGGGUGACAGGGUGCGUCCCGCAGUUCUGGCUGAUGGUGUCUGCCAGCACUACCAGGGGCCCACUGUGCUCAGGACAGACUGUGUGGUGCUCUGGGAACUGUUUAUUUAGUCAAAAGGAGUCAUUCCAUGGGUCCUGUGAGGUAGUUCUGGGUCCUAUCUAGGCUUUGCCUUAUGCCCUCCACUGCUCGUCAUCACGUUAGUCCCUUGACACUGGCCACUGGCCACCAGCCACCAUGGCAGACCCUUCCCAGGGUGCCUCAUGGUCCGGCUUUCCCUAACAGUCCUUAAUUCCCAGAGAUCUCUUGAGGCCGUGAUGCCCACCAGAAGCAUUGUGCUCGCUUGGCGCAGGCUUUGUUAGAAGCUCAUGGCUGACUACCCUGCUUACAGCUAGGGAACGGCACUCAGCUCUCCCAAGCUGGGCUGGCUGCCCGGGAAGGUGCUUGGCGAGCUCAGCCAACGUCCCCUGGGAGCCGGUGUGGUUCUCUGUUACCUCUUGUGGAACAUUUCUAGGGAGCCCAUUCUUUUGUUCCUAUCCUGUCUCCUCUGGUUAAAGCCUGCCAGAGAGCCCCUCAGCCCUCGGGUAAACAGUGAGAUGUUCCCUUCACCCCGGUGGUCAUGGGAGAACACUUCCCAGAUCCCCUCCCCAUCCUCAGGGCUCUGGGCUGUCCUCCUGCUGCUGGAACAGGGUCCUUCCCACAGCCCUCUGGAGGGAGGGAUUUGGAUCUGGUCAUCAGAGCAUCCUCAGUAAACUCUGCUGGCUUUCAAGCCCUCAUACCCUUCUCCCCACCUGGCUUCCUAGUUGCUUGAACUGUGUCAAAAAGAAACAAGGAAAGGAAAGCCAGCAAAGAAGCUUAACAGAUAAAGCUUGAUAACGUGAGUUUAACUCCCAGAACCCAUGUGGGAGAAAGAGGAAACUGAUUCCCACAAGUUGUCCUCUGGCCUACACACACAUUCACACGCACGUUAAUAAGUAAAAGGAAAAUUAACUCAAGUGCUGGUGGCGCAUGCCUUUAAUCCCAGCACCCUGGUGACAGAAGCAGGCAGGUCUCUGAGUUCGAGGCCAGCCUGGUCUACAGAGCCAGGACAGACAGGGCCACACAGAGACACUUUGUCUCAAAAAGACAAAAGAAAGAAAGAAAACUAGAAAAAGAAGGAGAGAGCUGUAACUCCUGCUCCCUGGACCCAGAGCCCCGGAGCAGCAGCCUAUCCAGAAUGUGCCUUCUCAGCCCUACCAUGCCUCUGUGUUGGCACCUCCCACCAGCCAGCCCUGGCAGUGAGAGGGACACCUGCCAGCCAGUCCCAGCAGCUUCCGGGUCAGCACCCAGCAUAGCCAAACACAUCUCUAGCCUGGAGCAACUGGAGACUAGAACAGGAGCCUUCCACCUUCCCUGAGGCCACCACAGGCUCUCUCAGAGUCAGGGGCCAGCACCAGGCCACACAUACUACCUCAGCAUCUAGCAUCUGUCACAGCAUUGUGUGGUCACAGAUUGUCCAUCAAGAUUGUGCUCAGAGCCUGGUCGCCUCACAGAGGCUGGCUGACACCCUCCCUCUGCACUGGCCCCGCAAACCGCUAUGGGAUUCCUUCCUGCAUCCCAUGGCGUGCUCCAGCGAGCAAGCCAGGCUUCUGUCUCCUCCUGCCUUGUUUAGCUCUGACUUAAAUACACCUCGAACCCCCAAACUGUGAGUAGAGUCAGAAAUGGGAGUAGCUUGUUUGCAGUGAGAAAGGGACCGCUUUUUCAUAUUUUCAUCACAAGGGGUCUUGCUUCAAGAGAACCCCUAAAAACUGUGUAUAUGAUGCUGAUGACCAGGGUGAUGAGGACUGUUGUGAUACCUAGAAUAAUUCACAGAACUUGACUGCAGGCUUUGUGUAAACAACAGUAAUCAAGAGUGUAGGGCUGGAAAGGUAGCUCAGCACCCCCACGGGGGCUCGCAGCUGCUGCUAACUCCAGGGGAUCUGAUCCUCUCCUUCUGACCUCCUCAAGCAGCGCACACAAACAUAAGCAGGUAAAUAAUAAUUUGGAGACUGGUACCCAUGGCAAAAAGUAUCCUCAAACUUAAAAAAGUUAACUAAGCCUUCACUCUGUCUGUCACAUAACAACUUCUUCUAGAUGACACCUUAGAGUUCAGCUUCAUCAUUUAGAGGCCAUGGAAAUCCUAGGGGCUGAAGAACUGUAUGUUGCGAACUAUUCCAAGUGGGUCUUCACGGAGAAAGAAGUCAGGCACGGUGGUGAAUGCCUUUAAUCCUAGCACUCGGAAGGGAGAACCAGGCAGACCUCUUAAGUCCAGGCUAGCAUGGUCUACAGAGCAAGUUCUAGGACAGACAGGGCCACACAGAGAAACCCUGUCUCAAAAAAAAAAAAAAAAAAAAAAAAAAGAAAGAAAGAAAGAAAGAAAAGAAAAGGGAAAGGGAAAAGAGAUAACAAAUAAAUAGAGAAGAAAGCACAAGCCCCUGUAACUUAACUGAGUAGCCAGUGACUUCUGCCCGCCCGUGGGGUCCUUUCGUUAUGAACCCGCUCGAAAGCUAGCUUCUGUUUGUAUCCUCCUUCCCGUAAGCCGCCAGGUCCACAGUGGCAAGCGGUGAGGCUCCCUUUGACCACGUUGUCCAACGCUUGCACAUUGUGACAGCCAUAAACAAAGAUGGUGGCUUCAGUGGAAGUGCCGACCAAACCUCACAGUGAGUCCCAUAGUUGGUGCCCAGCCCCACCGCACCCCAGCCUAGAGAUGGCCCCACACUCGCUCCUUGUCAGUAUCCAGGCUGCAGACUCAGCCCAGGCAGAACUCAGUCUGCAGCAGUCAGAAUGAGACCCACCCACGACGCACAAUGAACCAGGCGAUUUGUUGGUUUUCUGUCUCUAUAGUGUCUGUCUUCUGCUAGGAUAGAAAACUAUCAAACCCAUUGAAAAAUAGAACGUAAAUUGAGUUAAAUAAGACUGUCCAUCCCCAGGCUGGGGACCACAAGCCUGCAAGUACUCCUGCUGUGUGUGUUGUGCUGAGCACCUGAUAGUCUUGCAAAGAGCUGCUUCCUAGCACAUUGAUGGUUUACCCUGGGAUGCACCUCCUACCAUAAGGAGAACUCCAUUAAAACCAGACCAGGUUUCACAAAUACCAUACCAAGCUGGGCAAUGGUAGUGCAUGCCUUUAAUCCUAGUACCCAGGAGGCAGAGGCAGGAAGAUCUCUGUGAGUAAAAGGCCAACCUAGCCUACAACUCUAGUUCUAGGACAGCCAGGACCUCACAAAGAAACACUUGUCUGGAGGAAAAAUAGAUAAAUAAAAUCCAUCCUGUCCAAACACAAAUCCGUCUCACUAACACAUGUGUGUUUCAUGGCACGGUACCUGUGGAGUGGCUUUUCAUUUCAAUCCUGCGCUCUCACUGUUUCUACUGAAGCGCCCAGGCAGAAGAGAGCUACGCUCAGGUGAGGCUGAACUGAGUGUGGCAAAGCUAAGCGCCCUUCGCACAGCGCUCUUGCUGGAAAACUGGCAUUCGCAGUGGGCGCACACAAAUGGAAUGAAAGUCAUUGUGUAAAAAGUGUAAAAUAUUUGAGGGGCCAGAAGGUCACAAAGUACAAAACUGUCCAGAGAAUUUCCUCCCGCACUGUGCCUGUCUCCUGCCUUGUGGGCCAAAUGUAUCCGUUGGGUGGAGUGACCGAUUUUCUAUUCCUUUGCUGGUGUCAUAGCAAAGUCAGAAUUUUUUUUUUUUAAUUUGUAACGUUUCUUACAAAGUUACUUUAUGGUUUACAAGCAACACUGAUGCAGAAGGAUAUGUCGAUUUUCUUAAACUAAGUAGCAGCAUUUUGUUUACAGGGCUUGGAUAUUGUAGAUGACGUGGGAUCCGGUCCCUCAUCCCUAGCACUAGAUCUAGGUCCUAGGGAGAUGCCGCCAUUGUGCUGUUCCCUGGUGUACCACAGAUCAGUGAAAGUGUUUUAUCUUUUUUACGUCGUUUGUAUGGAUUGGAUUUUAUAAUGGUAAGAAAACAGAGUGUUGUAUUUUGAGCUGAAAUUUGUGUAUGGUCAAGUAAUUCUGUUUUAUGUAUUGGAAGUCCGUUUACAACUUGAACUAUUUUCUAGAAGAGUGUUGGACAAAAUGAAUUGUCUUCAAGCUGUUUCAUUAACUAAUAAAGUCAUUUGAUGGGGAA
rnacentral:lncRNA from 1 species